rnacentral:sRNA from 1 species
AGAUAUUUUCUUGUUCAAUUUAAGGAGAGGUAAAUUUGGUAUCAAUAGAAAAAAUGUUUCUGAAAAAUUUAAACCCUGGAAAUAUAUUUAUGGCAUGGAGUCAGAUGUUUCAGGGAGAGAAGAACAAAUCAAGAAGCAUUGCAAGUAUGCUCAUAUGGAAUGCUUAAGGCUUGUGGUUAAAAAAUAUAUAUAUAUGGCUGUCAAUGUCUUAGGCUCAUGGUAGCAGCAGAAAUCGUAAUAAUUCUUUUGUCACAUGGGUUAUAUCCAUAUUGGAGAGAAUUAACUCAGGUGAAAUUAACUUGUACACUGUUUGGUUUUAUAAUAUUUAGAGGGAUCACAACUGACUGAUGUCCCUUUGAAGUACCAUUCUUCAUAAAUCUCUUUUUUCAGAAUGGGCCAGCCAAAUGUGACAUCCCUUGGAUCUGAGAUUUAGAACUAGAAACUAUUCUUUCUACAUUAUUAGGGAAGAAAAGGAGUUACUUGGCAGUUAGCAAUAUUCUAUUUUGUUUUGUUUUGUUUUUAGAGACAGGGUCUCAUUAUGUUGACCAGGCUGGCCUCGAGCUCCUGGGCUCAAGCAAUGCUCCCACCUCAGCCUCCCAAGUAGCUGGGACUACAGGCAUGUGCCACUACACCUGGCAGUGUUUAUUCUGAUAAAUACAUUUAUGAGCUCAAAAAUGUAACUCUAAAACCUUAUCUCUGAACUUUCAUAUUACCAUCAGAAAUUUAGAUAGCUGUUUAGUUCUCUUUUUCUUUGUAGAACAUAGAUAUAAGGCAUGGUUUCAUUGAAGUCAGUUGUAUAUACAUGUAACUAUCCUGAUGUUCCCAAAUAAAGCUCUGUAUUUCUGCUUGGUUUAUUGGGGAGGCUGCUAAAUGUAGUGCAUCCCAACCCAUUUUACCCUGUUCUACUUUAAAAAGAGGUUGGCUUCUUGUUUGGAUACAAGGACCAAGUCACUCCCCCAGGUUCCUCCACAGUAAGGGAGGCCUAUUUAAAGCCGCCCAUGGCACUAACAGAAACUGGACUCCUAUGAGCUCAGAUACAUAACUGGGCCUCACAGGGGUGGGACAGUAUGUAGUCUAGGAAUUGGAAGGAUCCAUUCCAUAUCAAAGAACUGAAGCAUCGUGUUGUCCUCUCAGCAGCAAGAGUAAGGUGAUGCCCCUGUCAGUUAUAGUUCCUGAGUUCCUCUGUCUUUGAUUCUUUGCCUAUUAGCCAGCUAGCUCACCCUCUUCUUUAUGCCACUGUUUUUUAUCCUAUUCAUGCCUUCUCACAGACAGCUUUUCUUACCUACAGCUUUGAACUCAUCCUUGUCUCCUUUCUGUUUCUUUUUCACUUUCCCUUCCCAUCACCAACUUUCUGGGUUUUUUUCUGUUUCUUCUUAGAGUCCAGUGGCAGGGAGAAACUUGUCAGUCCAGUCUGUUGCCAUUUUUCCUGUUUGAGAAAGACUCACCAGCUUUUGGCUGGCUCACAGAUUGGCUUUCCUUGGGUCAGGACCCACCCUUUUCCCUGCCAGCUUUGGAAGCUUGACAGAGUUCGAGUGUGCAGUGGUGGUAAAUAAAUAGUAAGGAACACAGAGCAGUCCUGGAGGCGUGCCUCCAUCUGCUGAUGAGAAAAUCCAGUGCUGUCAUCCAGCCCAGGUCCCAGCGGAAUAGGCCUCUCUGUUCAGUAGGAUCCCCCUCCUGCUGAGUGGUUCAUGGCAUGUUUCUGUUCAACGCUUUUCCAUCUGUAGGAUUCUUAUUCUGUAUUUAUUUGGUUUUUUGGGUUUUUUUAUUUUUUGAGAUGGAGUCUCGCUCUGUCACCCAGGCUGGAGUGCAGUGGCAUGACCCCAGCUCGCUGCAGCCUCUGCCUCCCAGGACGAGGGAGAUCCUCCCACCUCAGCCUUCCACGUAGCUGGGACUACAGGCAUGCACCACAGGCAUGCACCACCAGGCCAGCUAAUUUUUGUAUUUUUGGUAGAGACAGGGUUGCAUCAUGUUGCCCAGGCUGGUCUUGAAUGCCUGAGCUCAAGCAAUCUAUUUGCCUUGGCCUCCCAAAGUGCUGGGAUUACAGGCAUGAGCCACCACGGCCAGCCUUCUCAUUUGUUUCUUUAUAAGGAAGCUAUCUCUUCUUCCCUCCCCAACUAGGGUAUUCUUUUCCCUUUCAUCACUUUGCUCAUGUACUGUAUUCCUUCAACUUCAUUAAUGAAUCCAUUUGGAAGCAGUGAAAAAGGCAACUCAGAAAGCUAAGAAGAAAUAGAUAGAGGAAUACUUAGAGCUAUCUGAGUAUUUUCUUUAGUUUGUUAGCUCUUCGGAGCUUUGAAACUGGAAAGACCCAGGGAGUGGUGUGGAGAAAGAGACUGAGCUUGUAAGACACAGGAGCAGUGAGCUAAGGGAGAUGGAGUAGUGGGGACAAAUUCUGGCACAUUCUGUCUACACUCUGGGUAGAUAGAGGAGGGAGGAUGGAGCACCCAUGGUGGGGCUAUGUUGGUGACAGCAUUUUCCCACCAGCCAGUGUAACAAGUGGCUGAUUUGGGGGAAAGAUAGCAUAAACAAAUGAGAGAAUGUGUUUACUAUUUGAUGUAGAUGGGUUAUUUGCUUCAUUUUUCAAAUCAGUGUAUAUAAUCAAGAAUAUUCAGCAUGUUUGAAUAGACUGUCAGAGCUGGAACUCUUUCAUUAACAUCUCUGGCACCUUUAGUUUUAGCCCUGAACAUUUUAUCUUAAAAUUAAACAUUACCAAAUGCCUUAGUUUAUUUCAUUUAUUAAAUUUAUAUUCUUAUUUGUUAUUUAUAUCAGCUUCCAAUCAGAAGACUCUACAACCUCCUAGGAAUAACUGAAGUGAAGUGAUGGACUCCGAUUUGGAGAGUAGUAAGACGUGAAAGGAAUACACUUGUGUUUAAGCACCAUGGCCUUGAUGAUUCACUGUUCGGGAGAAGAAACAAGAAAAGUAACUGGUUGUCACCUAUGAGACCCUUACGUGAUUGUUAGUUAAGUUUUUAUUCAAAGCAGCUGUAAUUUAGUUAAUAAAAUAAUUAUGAUCUAUGUUGUUUGCCCAAUUGAGAUCCAGUUUUUUGUUGUUAUUUUUAAUCAAUUAGGGGCAAUAGUAGAAUGGACAAUUUCCAAGAAUGAUGCCUUUCAGGUCCUAGGGCCUCCGGCCUCUAGGUAACCAGUUUAAAUUGGUUCAGGGUGAUAACUACUUAGCACUGCCCUGGUGAUUACCCAGAGAUAUCUAUGAAAACCAGUGGCUUCCAUCAAACCUUUGCCAACUCAGGUUCACAGCAGCUUUGGGCAGUUAUGGCAGUAUGGCAUUAGCUGAGAGGUGUCUGCCAUUUCUGGGUCAACGGAAUAAUAAAUUAAGUACAGGCAGGAAUUUGGUUGGGAGCAUCUUGUAUGAUCUCCGUAUGAUGUGAUAUUGAUGGAGAUAGUGGUCCUCAUUCUUGGGGGUUGCCAUUCCCACAUUCCCCCUUCAACAAACAGUGUAACAGGUCCUUCUCAGAUUUAGGGUACUUUUAUUGAUGGAUAUGUUUUCCUUUUAUUCACAUAACCCCUUGAAACCCUGUCUUGUCCUCCUGUUAACUUGCUUCUGCUGUACAAGAUGUAGCACCUUUUCUCCUCUUUGAACAUGGUCUAGUGACACGGUAGCACCAGUUGCAGGAAGGAGCCAGACUUGUUCUCAGAGCACUGUGUUCACACUUUUCAGCAAAAAUAGCUAUGGUUGUAACAUAUGUAUUCCCUUCCUCUGAUUUGAAGGCAAAAAUCUACAGUGUUUCUUCACUUCUUUUCUGAUCUGGGGCAUGAAAAAAGCAAGAUUGAAAUUUGAACUAUGAGUCUCCUGCAUGGCAACAAAAUGUGUGUCACCAUCAGGCCAACAGGCCAGCCCUUGAAUGGGGAUUUAUUACUGUUGUAUCUAUGUUGCAUGAUAAACAUUCAUCACCUUCCUCCUGUAGUCCUGCCUCGUACUCCCCUUCCCCUAUGAUUGAAAAGUAAACAAAACCCACAUUUCCUAUCCUGGUUAGAAGAAAAUUAACGUUCUGACAGUUGUGAUCGCCUGGAGUACUUUUAGAUUUUUAGCAUUCGUUUUUUACCUGUUUGUGGAUGUGUGUUUGUAUGUGCAUACGUAUGAGAUAGGCACAUGCAUCUUCUGUAUGGACAAAGGUGGGGUACCUACAGGAGAGCAAAGGUUAAUUUUGUGCUUUUAGUAAAAACAUUUAAAUACAAAGUUCUUUAUUGGGUGGAAUUAUAUUUGAUGCAAAUAUUUGAUCACUUAAAACUUUUAAAACUUCUAGGUAAUUCGCCACGCUUUUUGACUGCUCACCAAUACCCUGUAAAAAUACAUAAUUCUUCCUGUUUGUGUAAUAAGAUAUUCAUAUUUGUAGUUGCAUUAAUAAUAGUUAUUUCUUAGUCCAUCAGAUGUUCCCGUGUGCCUCUUUUAUGCCAAAUUGUCAUAUUUCAUGUUGGGACCAAGUAGUUUGCCCAUGGCAAACCUAAAUUUAUGACCUGCUGAGGCCUCUCAGAAAACUGAACAUACUAGCAAGACAGCUCUUCUUGAAAAAAAAAUUAUACACAAAUAUAUACGUAUAUCUAUAAAUACGUAUGUAUAUACACACAUGUAUAUUCUUCCUUGAUUGUGUAGCUGUCCAAAAUAAUAACAUAUAUAGAGGGAGCUGUAUUCCUUUAUACAAAUCUGAUGGCUCCUGCAGCACUUUUUCCUUCUGAAAAUAUUUACAUUUUGCUAACCUAGUUUGUUACUUUAAAAAUCAGUUUUGAUGAAAGGAGGGAAAAGCAGAUGGACUUGAAAAAGAUCCAAGCUCCUAUUAGAAAAGGUAUGAAAAUCUUUAUAGUAAAAUUUUUUAUAAACUAAAGUUGUACCUUUUAAUAUGUAGUAAACUCUCAUUUAUUUGGGGUUCGCUCUUGAAUCUCAUCCAUCCAUUGUGUUCUCUUUAAUGCUGCCUGCCUUUUGAGGCAUUCACUGCCCUAGACAAUGCCACCAGAGAUAGUGAGGGAAAUGCCAGAUGAAACCAACUCUUGCUCUCACUAGUUGUCAGCUUCUCUGGAUAAGGGACCACAGAAGCAGGAGUCUUCCUGCUUGGGCAUCAUUGGGCCAGUUCCUUCUCUUUAAAUCAGAUUUGUAAUGGCUCCCAAAUUCCAUCACAUCACAUUUAAAUUGCAGACAGUGUUUUGCACAUCAUGUAUCUGUUUUGUCCCAUAAUAUGCUUUUUACUCCCUGAUCCCAGUUUCUGCUGUUGACUCUUCCAUUCAGUUUUGUUUAUUGUGUGUUCUCACAGUGACACCAUUUGUCCUUUUCUGCAACAACCUUUCCAGCUACUUUUGCCGAAUUCUAUUUGUCUUCUCCUUCAAAACACUCUCCUUUGCAGUUCCUCUUCAUCUGUGUAGCUGCUCUUUUGUCUCUUAACUUACCAUUCCUAUAGUACUUUAUGCAUCUCUGCUUAGUUCUAUUAGUUUUUUGGUCUUGCUCUUCUCCCUUGAUUUUAAAAUUCCUUCUAUAGCUAGAGCUUUUCUUUCUUCCAUUCUCUCUUCCUGCAGUGUUUUGCAUACAUCAGAAGCUAGGUACAUAAGUUAAAUGAUUGAGAGUUGGCUGUAUUUAGAUUUAUCACUUUUUAGUAGGGUGAGCUUGAGAGUUUUCUUUCUUUCCGGUUUUUUUUUUUUUUUUUUUGACUAAUUUCACAUGCUCUAAAAACCUUCAAAAGUGAUUAUUUUUCUCCUGGAAACUCCAGGUCCAUUCUGUUUAAAUCCCUAAGAAUGUCAGAAUUAAAAUAACAGGGCUAUCCCGUAAUUGGAAAUAUUUCUUUUUUCAGGAUGCUAUAGUCAAUUUAGUAAGUGACCACCAAAUUGUUAUUUGCACUAACAAAGCUCAAAACACGAUAAGUUUACUCCUCCAUCUCAGUAAUAAAAAUUAAGCUGUAAUCAACCUUCUAGGUUUCUCUUGUCUUAAAAUGGGUAUUCAAAAAGGGGGAUCUGUGGUGUAUGUAUGGAAACACAUACUCCUUAAUUUACCUGUUGUUGGAAACUGGAGAAAUGAUUGUCGGGCAACCGUUUAUCUUUUAUUGUAUUUUAUUUGGUUGAGGGAUUUUUUUAUAAACAGUUUUACUUGUGUCAUAUUUUAAAAUUACUAACUGCCAUCACCUGCUGGGGUCCUUUGUUAGGUCAUUUUCAGUGACUAAUAGGGAUAAUCCAGGUAACUUUGAAGAGAUGAGCAGUGAGUGACCAGGCAGUUUUUCUGCCUUAAGCUUUGACAGUUCUUAAUUAAGAUCAUUGAAGACCAGCUUUCUCAUAAAUUUCUCUUUUUGAAAAAAAGAAAGCAUUUGUACUAAGCUCCUCUGUAAGACAACAUCUUAAAUCUUAAAAGUGUUGUUAUCAUGACUGGUGAGAGAAGAAAACAUUUUGUUUUUAUUAAAUGGAGCAUUAUUUACAAAAAGCCAUUGUUGAGAAUUAGAUCCCACAUCGUAUAAAUAUCUAUUAACCAUUCUAAAUAAAGAGAACUCCAGUGUUGCUAUGUGCAAGAUCCUCUCUUGGAGCUUUUUUGCAUAGCAAUUAAAGGUGUGCUAUUUGUCAGUAGCCAUUUUUUUGCAGUGAUUUGAAGACCAAAGUUGUUUUACAGCUGUGUUACCGUUAAAGGUUUUUUUUUAUAUAUGUAUUAAAUCAAUUUAUCACUGUUUAAAGCUUUGAAUAUCUGCAAUCUUUGCCAAGGUACUUUUUUAUUUAAAAAAAACAUAACUUUGUAAAUAUUACCCUGUAAUAUUAUAUAUACUUAAUAAAACAUUUUAAGCUAU